rnacentral:rRNA from 1 species
GGGGCAACCCUCGAGAGUGGCGAACGGGUGAGUAAUAUAUCGGAACGUGCCCAGUCGUGGGGGAUAACGUAGCGAAAGUUACGCUAAUACCGCAUACGAUCUACGGAUGAAANCGGGGGAUCGCAAGACCUCGCGCGAUUGGAGCGGCCGAUAUCAGAUUAGGUAGUUGGUGGGGUAAAGGCUCACCAAGCCAACGAUCUGUAGCUGGUCUGAGAGGACGACCAGCCACACUGGAACUGAGACACGGUCCAGACUCCUACGGGAGGCAGCAGUGGGGAAUUUUGGACAAUGGACGCAAGUCUGAUCCAGCCAUUCCGCGUGCAGGACGAAGGCCUUCGGGUUGUAAACUGCUUUUGUACAGAACGAAAAGGUCUCUAUUAAUACUAGGGGCUCAUGACGGUACUGUAAGAAUAAGCACCGGCUAACUACGUG